rnacentral:rRNA from 1 species
UCCUUGAGAGUCCUGAAGGAACGUUGAAGACGACGACGUUGAUAGGCCGGAUGUGUAAGCGCAGCGAUGCGUUGAGCUAACCGGUACUAAUGAACCGUGAGGCUUAACCUU